rnacentral:rRNA from 1 species
GAGCUCUCAAUCUGUCAAUCCUUCCAGUGUCCGGGCCUGGUGAGAUUUCCCGUGUUGAGUCAAAUUAAGCCGCAGGCUCCACUCCUGGUGGUGCCCUUCCGUCAAUUCCUUUAAGUUUCAGCUUUGCAACCAUACUUCCCCCGGAACCCAAAAGCUUUGGUUUCCCGGAAGUCUCCCGUAGAGCCUACAAUAAAAACGUCUACGGAUUACUAGCUGGCAUCGUUUAUGGUUAGAACUAGGGCGGUAUCUGAUCGCCUUCGAACCUCUAACUUUCGUUCUUGAUUAAUGAAAACAUUCUUGGCAAAUGCUUUCGCAGUAGUGAGUCUUCAGACGGUCCAAGAAUUUCACCUCUGUCGUCUGAAUACUAAUGCCCCCGACUGUCCCUAUUAAUCAUUACGUCGAUUUCCGAAAACCAACAAAAUAGAAGCGACGUCCUAUUCCAUUAUUCCAUGCACGAAUAUUCAAGCGUGUAAAGCCUGCUUCGAGCACUCUAAUUUUUUCAAAGUAAACCUGUGGGCGACGCACGGACACUCGGUUAAGAGCACCCGUGGCCGAGACCCACAAAAAAACAGAGGAUUGCGUUUUCAGUAAAGCCAAUCAGCCAACCGAAAGCAACCCACCGAGAUCCAACUACGAGCUUUUUAACCGCAACAGCAUUAAUAUACGCUAUUGGAGCUGGAAU